rnacentral:rRNA from 1 species
AGAGUUUGAUCCUGGCUCAGAUUGAACGCUGGCGGCAUGCCUUACACAUGCAAGUCGAACGGCAGCACGGGAGCAAUCCUGGUGGCGAGUGGCGAACGGGUGAGUAAUAUAUCGGAACGUGCCCAGUCGUGGGGGAUAACGCAGCGAAAGCUGUGCUAAUACCGCAUACGAUCUCUGGAUGAAAGCGGGGGACUCGUAAGAGCCUCGCGCGAUUGGAGCGGCCGAUAUCAGAUUAGCUAGUUGGUGGGGUAAAGGCCCACCAAGGCGACGAUCUGUAGCUGGUCUGAGAGGACGACCAGCCACACUGGAACUGAGACACGGUCCAGACUCCUACGGGAGGCAGCAGUGGGGAAUUUUGGACAAUGGGCGCAAGCCUGAUCCAGCAAUGCCGCGUGCAGGAUGAAGGCCUUCGGGUUGUAAACUGCUUUUGUACGGAACGAAAAGGUCUGCCUUAAUACGGUGGGCCCAUGACGGUACCGUAAGAAUAAGCACCGGCUAACUACGUGCCAGCAGCCGCGGUAAUACGUAGGGUGCGAGCGUUAAUCGGAAUUACUGGGCGUAAAGCGUGCGCAGGCGGUUAUAUAAGACAGAUGUGAAAUCCCCGGGCUNCACCUGGGACCUGCAUUUGUGACUGUAUAGCUAGAGUACG